rnacentral:lncRNA from 1 species
UAAACUAAUUUGUAUGGGUUUAGAUGGUAACAUGGCAUUUUGAAUAUUGGCUUCCUUUCUUGCAGGCUUGAUUUGCCUGGUGACCGAAUUACUAGUGACUAGUUUACUAACUAGGUCAUUCAAGGAAGUCAAGUUAACUUAAACAUGUCACCUAAAUGCACUUGAUGGUGUUGAAAUGUCCACCUUCUUAAAUUUUUAAGAUGAACUUAGUUCUAAAGAAGAUAACAGACC